rnacentral:rRNA from 1 species
GGUUAAGCGACUAAGCGUACACGGUGGAUGCCCUGGCAGUCAGAGGCGAUGAAGGACGUGCUAAUCUGCGAUAAGCGUCGGUAAGGUGAUAUGAACCGUUAUAACCGGCGAUUUCCGAAUGGGGAAACCCAGUGUGUUUCGACACACUAUCAUUAACUGAAUCCAUAGGUUAAUGAGGCGAACCGGGGGAACUGAAACAUCUAAGUACCCCGAGGAAAAGAAAUCAACCGAGAUUCCCCCAGUAGCGGCGAGCGAACGGGGAGCAGCCCAGAGCCUGAAUCAGUGUGUGUGUUAGUGGAAGCGUCUGGAAAGGCGCGCGAUACAGGGUGACAGCCCCGUACACAAAAAUGCACAUGCUGUGAGCUCGAUGAGUAGGGCGGGACACGUGGUAUCCUGUCUGAAUAUGGGGGGACCAUCCUCCCAAGGCUAAAUACUCCUGACUGACCGAUAGUGAACCAGUACCGUGAGGGAAAGGCGAAAAGAACCCCGGCGAGGGGAGUGAAAAAGAACCUGAAACCGUGUACGUACAAGCAGUGGGAGCACGCUUAGGCGUGUGACUGCGUACCUUUUGUAUAAUGGGUCAGCGACUUAUAUUCUGUAGCAAGGUUAACCGAAUAGGGGAGCCGAAGGGAAACCGAGUCUUAACUGGGCGUUAAGUUGCAGGGUAUAGACCCGAAACCCGGUGAUCUAGCCAUGGGCAGGUUGAAGGUUGGGUAACACUAACUGGAGGACCGAACCGACUAAUGUUGAAAAAUUAGCGGAUGACUUGUGGCUGGGGGUGAAAGGCCAAUCAAACCGGGAGAUAGCUGGUUCUCCCCGAAAGCUAUUUAGGUAGCGCCUCGUGAAUUCAUCUCCGGGGGUAGAGCACUGUUUCGGCAAGGGGGUCAUCCCGACUUACCAACCCGAUGCAAACUGCGAAUACCGGAGAAUGUUAUCACGGGAGACACACGGCGGGUGCUAACGUCCGUCGUGAAGAGGGAAACAACCCAGACCGCCAGCUAAGGUCCCAAAGUCAUGGUUAAGUGGGAAACGAUGUGGGAAGGCCCAGACAGCCAGGAUGUUGGCUUAGAAGCAGCCAUCAUUUAAAGAAAGCGUAAUAGCUCACUGGUCGAGUCGGCCUGCGCGGAAGAUGUAACGGGGCUAAACCAUGCACCGAAGCUGCGGCAGCGACGCUGAUGCGUUGUUGGGUAGGGGAGCGUUCUGUAAGCCUGCGAAGGUGUGCUGUGAGGCAUGCUGGAGGUAUCAGAAGUGCGAAUGCUGACAUAAGUAACGAUAAAGCGGGUGAAAAGCCCGCUCGCCGGAAGACCAAGGGUUCCUGUCCAACGUUAAUCGGGGCAGGGUGAGUCGACCCCUAAGGCGAGGCCGAAAGGCGUAGUCGAUGGGAAACAGGUUAAUAUUCCUGUACUUGGUGUUACUGCGAAGGGGGGACGGAGAAGGCUAUGUUGGUACGGGCGACGGUUGUCCCGGUUUAAGCGUGUAGGCUGGUUUUCCAGGCAAAUCCGGAAAAUCAAGGCUGAGGCGUGAUGACGAGGCACUACGGUGCUGAAGCAACAAAUGCCCUGCUUCCAGGAAAAGCCUCUAAGCAUCAGGUAACAUCAAAUCGUACCCCAAACCGACACAGGUGGUCAGGUAGAGAAUACCAAGGCGCUUGAGAGAACUCGGGUGAAGGAACUAGGCAAAAUGGUGCCGUAACUUCGGGAGAAGGCACGCUGAUAUGUAGGUGAAGUCCCUCGCGGAUGGAGCUGAAAUCAGUCGAAGAUACCAGCUGGCUGCAACUGUUUAUUAAAAACACAGCACUGUGCAAACACGAAAGUGGACGUAUACGGUGUGACGCCUGCCCGGUGCCGGAAGGUUAAUUGAUGGGGUUAGCCGCAAGGCGAAGCUCUUGAUCGAAGCCCCGGUAAACGGCGGUACCGUAACUAUAACGGUCCUAAGGUAGCGAAAUUCCUUGUCGGGUAAGUUCCGACCUGCACGAAUGGCGUAAUGAUGGCCAGGCUGUCUCCACCCGAGACUCAGUGAAAUUGAACUCGCUGUGAAGAUGCAGUGUACCCGCGGCAAGACGGAAAGACCCCGUGAACCUUUACUAUAGCUUGACACUGAACAUUGAGCCUUGAUGUGUAGGAUAGGUGGGAGGCUUUGAAGUGUGGACGCCAGUCUGCAUGGAGCCGACCUUGAAAUACCACCCUUUAAUGUUUGAUGUUCUAACGUUGACCCGUAAUCCGGGUUGCGGACAGUGUCUGGUGGGUAGUUUGACUGGGGCGGUCUCCUCCUAAAGAGUAACGGAGGAGCACGAAGGUUGGCUAAUCCUGGUCGGACAUCAGGAGGUUAGUGCAAUGGCAUAAGCCAGCUUGACUGCGAGCGUGACGGCGCGAGCAGGUGCGAAAGCAGGUCAUAGUGAUCCGGUGGUUCUGAAUGGAAGGGCCAUCGCUCAACGGAUAAAAGGUACUCCGGGGAUAACAGGCUGAUACCGCCCAAGAGUUCAUAUCGACGGCGGUGUUUGGCACCUCGAUGUCGGCUCAUCACAUCCUGGGGCUGAAGUAGGUCCCAAGGGUAUGGCUGUUCGCCAUUUAAAGUGGUACGCGAGCUGGGUUUAGAACGUCGUGAGACAGUUCGGUCCCUAUCUGCCGUGGGCGCUGGAGAACUGAGGGGGCUGCUCCUAGUACGAGAGGACCGGAGUGGACGCAUCACUGGUGUUCGGGUUGUCAUGCCAAUGGCACUGCCCGGUAGCUAAAUGCGGAAGAGAUAAGUGCUGAAAGCAUCUAAGCACGAAACUUGCCCCGAGAUGAGUUCUCCCUGACCCUUUAAGGGUCCUGAAGGAACGUUGAAGACGACGACGUUGAUAGGCCGGGUGUGUAAGCGCAGCGAUGCGUUGAGCUAACCGGUACUAAUGAACCGUGAGGCUUAACCUU